rnacentral:misc_RNA from 1 species
AACCAUAGAAACCUGCGGAGUACCUGCGGAGGGAUCAUUACCGAGUGUGGCCCCAUUUUUAAAACAAAUAGGGGUACCUCCCGUCCUUUGCAGGGCCCUUUGGGGCUUUUUGAACUUUGCUUCGGCGGGUUUACCCCGCCGGAACACCCUCAAGAAAAUCUUUUUAAAAAUACUGUUGUCUGGGCAUUUACAAAAUAAAAACAAAACUUUCAACAACGGAUCUCAGAUCGGAAGAGCACA